UACGUAGGAGGCGAGCGUUUGUCCGGAGUUACUGGGCGUAAAGCGUGGGUAGGCGGCUCUGUGCGUCUGUGGUGAAAUCUCCCGGCUUACCUGGGAGGGGGCUACGGAUACGGCAGGGCUUGAGGGCGUGAGAGGCUUGUAGAACUCCCGGUGGACCAGUGAAAUGGGUAGAGAUCGGGAAGAAUACCAGUGGUGCAGACGGCAAGCUGGCGCGUACCUGACGCUGAGCCACGAAAGCAUGGGGGAGCAAACAGG
rnacentral:rRNA from 1 species